GCGGACGUGGCGGAAUUGGUAGACGCGCCAGACUUAGGAUCUGGUGCCACACGGCGUGGGGGUUCGAGUCCCUUCGUCCGCACAA
rnacentral:tRNA from 1 species